CAUGGGCAGGUUGAAGGUUGGGUAACACUAACUGGAGGACCGAACCGACUAAUGUUGAAAAAUUAGCGGAUGACCUGUGGCUGGGGGUGAAAGGCCAAUCAAACCGGGAGAUAGCUGGUUCUCCCCGAAAGCUAUUUAGGUAGCGCCUCGUGAAUUCAUCUCCGGGGGUAGAGCACUGUUUCGGCUAGGGGGCCAUCCCGGCUUACCAACCCGAUGCAAACUGCGAAUACCGGAGAAUGUUAUCACGGGAGACACACGGCGGGUGCUAACGUCCGUCGUGAAGAGGGAAACAACCCAGACCGCCAGCUAAGGUCCCAAAGUCAUGGUUAAGUGGGAAACGAUGUGGGAAGGCCCAGACAGCCAGGAUGUUGGCUUAGAAGCAGCCAUCAUUUAAAGAAAGCGUAAUAGCUCACUGGUCGAGUCGGCCUGCGCGGAAGAUGUAACGGGGCUAAACCAUGCACCGAAGCUGCGGC
rnacentral:rRNA from 1 species